rnacentral:rRNA from 1 species
AGAGGGAGCAAGCGUUGUUCGGAAUCACUGGGCGUAAAGGGCGCGUAGGCGGCUGGGUCAGUUUCGUGUGAAAUCCCUCGGCUCAACUGAGGAACUGCACGGAAUACUGCCCGGCUUGAGUUCGGGAGAGGGAAGCGGAAUUCCGGGUGUAGCGGUGAAAUGCGCAGAUAUCCGGAGGAACACCAGUGGCGAAGGCGGCUUCCUGGACCGUGACUGACGCUGAGGCGCGAAAGCUAGGGGAGCGAACGGGGGAUUAGAUACCCCGGUAGUCCUAGCCGUAAACGAUGAGUGCUGGGUGUAGGGGGUAUUGACCCCCCCCCCCUGUGCCCGAAGCUAACGCAUUAAGCACUCCGCCUGGGGAGUACGGUCGCAAGGCUG